AUGAGGAACACUACAAGCAUACAUGAAAAGCCCCAAUUAACCGGACCAUCCAUGAUGCCUCAAGGCUACUGGCAUAGUCAAAGGGCAACGAGCAGCCAAGUCCACACCCAGACGAAGAACCAUGCAGUUUACAUCACAACAGCGGCACCGCCGACUAAGCCAAAGGGCAUCAAAUUGCCGAGUCCACACCUGGAUCACUUCAUCGUGCACACCCACCGUCGUGAUUGCGGAAGGAAAACUCCGGCACCACGGAACCACACCAGAAGACGACACCAACAGAGAAGAAAAGAAACCACACCACCAGAAAUAAACCACUUCCCUGGACGGCAUCAACCAGCUGGCAAACAGAGGGGCUCCAAAUCGAUGCCUCCAAGGAGGGAGUAA
rnacentral:rRNA from 1 species